GACGAACGCUGGCGGCGUGCCUAAUACAUGCAAGUCGAGCGCAGGAAAUCGACGGAACCCUUCGGGGGGAAGUCGACGGAAUGAGCGGCGGACGGGUGAGUAACACGUAAAGAACCUGCCCUCAGGUCUGGGAUAACCACGAGAAAUCGGGGCUAAUACCGGAUGGGUCAUCGGACCGCAUGGUCCGAGGAUGAAAGGCGCUUCGGCGUCGCCUGGGGAUGGCUCUGCGGUGCAUUAGCUAGUUGGUGGGGUAAUGGCCCACCAAGGCGACGAUGCAUAGCCGACCUGAGAGGGUGAUCGGCCACACUGGGACUGAGACACGGCCCAGACUCCUACGGGAGGAGGCAGUAGGGAAGCUUCCACAAUGGACGAAAGUCUGAUGGAGCAACGCCGCGUGAACGAUGAAGGCCUUCGGGUCGUAAAGUUCUGUUGUAAGGGAAGAACAAGUGCCGCAGGCAAUGGCGGCACCUUGACGGUACCUUGCGAGAAAGCCACGGCUAACUACGUGCCAGCCGCCGCGGUAACAC
rnacentral:rRNA from 1 species